UACGUAGGGGGCAAGCGUUAUCCGGAAUUACUGGGUGUAAAGGGUGAGUAGGCGGCAUGGUAAGCCAGAUGUGAAAGCCUUGGGCUUAACCCGAGGAUUGCAUUUGGAACUAUCAAGCUAGAGUACAGGAGAGGAAAGCGGAAUUCCUAGUGUAGCGGUGAAAUGCGUAGAUAUUAGGAAGAACACCAGUGGCGAAGGCGGCUUUCUGGACUGAAACUGACGCUGAGGCACGAGAGCGUGGGGAGCGAACAGG
rnacentral:rRNA from 1 species